GACGAACCGUGCGAACGUUAUUCGGAAUCACUGGGCUUAAAGCGCGCGCAGGCGGCUCGUCAAGCCUGACGUGAAAGCCCCCGGCUCAACCGGGGAGGGUCGUCGGGGACUGGCGGGCUUGAGGUCGGCAGGGGUUGGUGGAAUUCCCGGUGUAGUGGUGAAAUGCGUAGAGAUCGGGAGGAACACCCGUGGCGAAGGCGGCCAACUGGGCCGGACCUGACGCUGAGGCGCGAAGGCGUGUGGAGCGAACGGG
rnacentral:rRNA from 1 species